rnacentral:tRNA from 1 species
GGUCUGUAGCUCAGUGGCAGAGCACUUGCCUAGCAUGUGCAAGGCACUGGGUUCAAUCCUCAGCACCA